rnacentral:tRNA from 1 species
GCCGACUUAGCUCAGAAGGUAGAGCAACUGACUUGUAUUCAGUAGGUCACCUGUUCUAUUCCGGUAGUCGGCACCU